CCUACGGGAGGCAGCAGUGGGGAAUUUUGGACAAUGGGCGCAAGCCUGAUCCAGCAAUGCCGCGUGAGUGAAGAAGGCCUUCGGGUUGUAAAGCUCUUUUGUCAGGGAAGAAACGGUGGGGGCUAAUAUCUCCCACUAAUGACGGUACCUGAAGAAUAAGCACCGGCUAACUACGUGCCAGCAGCCGCGGUAAUACGUAGGGUGCAAGCGUUAAUCGGAAUUACUGGGCGUAAAGCGUGCGCAGGCGGUUUUGUAAGUUUGUCGUGAAAUCCCCGGACUCAACCUGGGAAUGGCGAUGAAGACUGCAAGGCUAGAAUCUGGCAGAGGGGGGUAGAAUUCCACGUGUAGCAGUGAAAUGCGUAGAGAUGUGGAGGAACACCGAUGGCGAAGGCAGCCCCCUGGGUCAAGAUUGACGCUCAUGCACGAAAGCGUGGGGAGCAAACAGGAUUAGAUACCCUGGUAGUCCACGCCCUAAACGAUGUCUACUAGUUGUCGGGUUUUAAUUAACUUGGUAACGCAGCUAACGCGUGAAGUACGACCGCCGUCGGGAGGUACGGUCGCGAGAUAAACUUAAAGUAAGUAGUAGACGNGAGAGAGCGACGACGACGACGACGGAGGAGGAG
rnacentral:rRNA from 1 species